rnacentral:rRNA from 1 species
UACGAAGGGGGCUAGCGUUGCUCGGAAUUACUGGGCGUAAAGCGCACGUAGGCGGGUUCUUAAGUCGGUGGUGAAAUCCUGGAGCUCAACUCCAGAACUGCCUUCGAAACUGGGAAUCUUGAGUCCGGGAGAGGUGAGUGGAACUGCGAGUGUAGAGGUGAAAUUCGUAGAUAUUCGCAAGAACACCAGUGGCGAAGGCGGACUCACUGGCCCGGUACU